GUUAGGAAUAUUGGACAAUGGGCGCAAGCCUGAUCCAGCCAUGCCGCGUGAGUGAUGAAGGCCUUCGGGUUGUAAAGCUCUUUAGCCGAUGAUUAUAAUGACUGUAGUCGGAAAAUAAGCCCCGGCUAACUUCGUGCCAGCAGCCGCGGUAAUACGAAGGGGGCGAGCGUUAUUCGGAAUCACUGGGCGUAAAGCGUGCGUAGGCGUCUUUGCAAGUUUGGAGUGAAAGCCCAGGGCUCAACCCUGGAAUUGCUCUCGAAACUGCAAGGCUCGAAUUCGGGAGAGGAUAGCGGAAUUGUCAGUGUAGCAGUGAAAUGCGUAGAUAUUGACAGGAACACCAGUGGCGUAAGCGGCUAUCUGGACCGAUAUUGACGCUGAGGCACGAAGGCGUGGGGAUCAAACAGGAUUAGAAACCCCAGUAGUCC
rnacentral:rRNA from 1 species